rnacentral:rRNA from 1 species
UACGAAGGGGGCUAGCGUUGCUCGGAAUGACUGGGCGUAAAGGGCGCGUAGGCGGAUUGUACAGUCAGGCGUGAAAUUCCCGGGCUCAACCUGGGGGCUGCGCUUGAGACGUGCGAUCUUGAGUGGGGAAGAGGGUCGUGGAAUUCCCAGUGUAGAGGUGAAAUUCGUAGAUAUUGGGAAGAACACCGGUGGCGAAGGCGGCGCUCUGGACCGAGACUGACGCUGAGGCGCGAAAGCGUGGGGAGCAAACAGG